rnacentral:rRNA from 1 species
UUGAAAGGGAAACGAUUGAAGUCAGUCGUACCAACGGGAAAUCAAUUCAUCAAGUGUUGAAUUUGGGUUUUUGAAGAGUUUUAAAACCUUUGGGAUUCAAAUAUUUACACUUUUUGAACGUAUUUUCUCGUACGGUAGGUUAACAUCGAUUUUGAACAUUAUAAAAUGAUCGGAGGAAUGUAGCUUCGAUCUCGUAUUGAAGUGUUAUAGCCUUUGGUAGAUGUAAUGAUCGAGAUCGAGGAUUGCAACGAAUACCCUUUUGGGCUAUCCGUCUGAUCUCUGAUACGUUGCCUCGGUAACGAAAGCGUGCUUACGGUAUUGAGGUAUUACGGUCAAAAGGUUAGAACGUGAUUACAUUCGUUAAGGAUGUUGACGUA